rnacentral:rRNA from 1 species
AUGUACGCUGGCGGCGUGCCUAAUACAUGCAAGUCGAGCGAACAGACGAGGAGCUUGCUCCUCUGACGUUAGCGGCGGACGGGUGAGUAACACGUGGAUAACCUACCUAUAAGACUGGGAUAACUUCGGGAAACCGGAGCUAAUACCGGAUAAUAUAUUGAACCGCAUGGUUCAAUAGUGAAAGACGGUUUUGCUGUCACUUAUAGAUGGAUCCGCGCCGCAUUAGCUAGUUGGUAAGGUAACGGCUUACCAAGGCAACGAUGCGUAGCCGACCUGAGAGGGUGAUCGGCCACACUGGAACUGAGACACGGUCCAGACUCCUACGGGAGGCAGCAGUAGGGAAUCUUCCGCAAUGGGCGAAAGCCUGACGGAGCAACGCCGCGUGAGUGAUGAAGGUCUUCGGAUCGUAAAACUCUGUUAUUAGGGAAGAACAAAUGUGUAAGUAACUAUGCACGUCUUGACGGUACCUAAUCAGAAAGCCACGGCUAACUACGUG